rnacentral:rRNA from 1 species
GACGAACGCUGGCGGCGUGCUUAACACAUGCAAGUCGAACGGAAAGGCCCUGCUUUUGUGGGGUGCUCGAGUGGCGAACGGGUGAGUAACACGUGAGUAACCUGCCCUUGACUUUGGGAUAACUUCAGGAAACUGGGGCUAAUACCGGAUAGGAGCUCCUGCUGCAUGGUGGGGGUUGGAAAGUUUCGGCGGUUGGGGAUGGACUCGCGGCUUAUCAGCUUGUUGGUGGGGUAGUGGCUUACCAAGGCUUUGACGGGUAGCCGGCCUGAGAGGGUGACCGGCCACAUUGGGACUGAGAUACGGCGCAGACUCCUACGGGAGGCAGCGGUGGGGAAUAUUGCACAAUGGGCGGGAGCCUGAUGCAGCAGCGCCGCGGGCGGGAUGACGGCCUUCGGGUUGUAAACCGCUUUCGCCUGUGACGAAGCGUGAGUGACGGUAAUGGGUAAAGAAGCACCGGCUAACUACGUG